rnacentral:rRNA from 1 species
UGGGGAAUUUUGCGCAAUGGGGGAAACCCUGACGCAGCAACGCCGCGUGGAGGAUGAAGUACUUCGGUACGUAAACUCCUUUCGAUCGGGACGAUAAUGACGGUACCGGAAGAAGAAGCCCCGGCUAACUUCGUGCCAGCAGCCGCGGUAAUACGAGGGGGGCAAGCGUUGUUCGGAAUUAUUGGGCGUAAAGGGUGCGUAGGCGGUUUGGUAAGUCUUGUGUGAAAUCUCCGGGCUCAACUCGGAGUCUGCACAGGAAACUGCCGGGCUUGAGUAUGGGAGAGGUGAGUGGAAUUUCCGGUGUAGCGGUGAAAUGCGUAGAUAUCGGAAGGAACACCUGUGGCGAAAGCGGCUCACUGGACCAUAACUGACGCUGAUGCACGAAAGCUAGGGGAGCAAACAGG